rnacentral:lncRNA from 1 species
UAUGGUAAGACCUCUUUAUGUUCUCCCAUGUACUCCUGUGCUUUCUUGAGCAAUGCAGUCGGUGUGACAAAAUGCCAUGAAUUAGCCAUAGUCGGACAGCUUUCUCUUGGCUGCACCGUGCAGCUGGGGAAGUUUGCACUGAUGGGUCUUCAGCUGGUGGUGUGCACAUGCCAGAGAGAGAGCACCUGCGGUUUCCCCGUGCCUGAUUCAUCCUCUUCAUGUUUCCUCCUUUCCUCCACGCUUGGUCUUCCUACCGGUAGAGUCCUUGAGGAACCAAUCACCUCUAAGGUUUGUUAGAAAAAUCUCGUGUCUCGUUCUCCAUUUCACUUCAUGCAUUAUCUCCAAGCUAAUCAGCGGAAGCCUAAUGAGUAGACAGCGUGAGUGGGGUUCACCCACCGUGCGCAGUGCUUGGAAUUAGGCAAACUUGUGGAAUCACUGUACCCUCAGUAGAAGGGAGGCACUUGGCAUAAUUCAUCUAAAUUAAUAUCCCUUUAACCAGACCAUCUGUGUGUUAAGGAAGAGCCUUCCAGCAUUGGCUGGAGCUUUGUUGUGGGGCUGCUCACCCUUGGCAUGUGUGUUUGGCUAACCAAUGGGAAAGCAAUUAGCAGCCCACUUUGUGAUUCCUGGUAUUUGUUUGAGUUUGGAUUCCAUUGCUCUUGCUUUCUAUAUUGUAUACCCAAGAAUUCAGGCUUGGUCAUGAGCUCUCAAAUAUAAAAAAUAUAUAGCUUCAUCAUGCCUGGCUUUUUUGUUUUCCUCCCUGGUCUGUGCUUUCUUUUGAACCAAUGACCUCCUCUCACUCCUAACAUCACCAUAAGGCUAGUCUAAAUUAACUUCUUAAAAUGUGGAUAUGUAUAAUCUCAACUAUCUGUUGUCAAAGAAAGAUGUGUACGUGAGAACCAGUAUACACAAUAGCACCAUUCUAGAAUAUACAUUUUCCAGAUAACACUUUAAUGACUGUAUUAAAACUAUAUUCACAUUUCUUCUGUUGGCUUUAACAGUUGUGUCUAUCACUGAGUUGUUGGAUUGGGUUGUGCCUACCACUGAGUUGUUGGAUUGGGCUGUGCCUACCAUUGAGUUGUUGGAUUGGGCUGUGCCUAACAUAAAUUGUUGGAUUGGGUUGUGUCUACCAUUGAGUUGUUGGAUUGGGUUGUGCCUACCAUGAAUUGUUGGAUUGGGUUAUGCCUACCAUGAAUUGUUGGAUUGGGUUGUGCCUACCAUUGAGUUGUUGGAUUGGGUUGUGCCUACUGUUGAGUUGUUGGAUUGGGUUGUGCCUACUGUUGAGUUGUUGGAUUGGGCUGUGCCUACCGUUGAGUUGUUGGAUUGGGUUGUGCCUACCAUUGAGUUGUUGGAUUGAGCCUUUCUGCUGAAUCAUUUCUCUGCUCUGUCCCAGUGAGGUGGAGGCACUCAGAAGCGGAGACCUUGUUUUUGUAAUGCAUUGUUGCAAUCUCAGGCAAGAAUUUGGACACGCUCAUGAAUAUCUUCUCCCCUGAAUAAACUCUUCUGUUGAAAUCUUGUGAAAAAUGUCCAUAAAGGCUUAAAGCACUGCCCUCAUCUUUGAGAAAAAAUAGGUAGGGAAUUUCCACUGUACUUUGGUGCGUUGAGAGCCAGAAUUGAAUACCUGAAGCCAGCACAGCGUGUCCUUCUUGAGGUGGGCAGAAGAUCCUCUAUCUGUUCCUUGCUACCUUCUGUUAGCAGUUCAAUUUUAGCCAAAAUUCAGUACUGUUGAGUCAGUUGGGCACAUGGAGGGGUGAAAUCCGGCACAGUUGAAGUAGCACAGAGUGGAUUGCAGUCAUACUAAUUUUCCUUUAUCACAACGACAGUAGUUUGUGUAUGGUGGUGACUUUUCAGAGCAACCCAAAGAGUAGUUGUGAAGUCGCAGUGUUUCAUAGGCAAACACAGAGUAUCUCAGAGCAAUUAGGUGACAUGUAAUUAGGUUUGUAGAGCACCAGUGGGACUUCAGAUUUUGUUCAUUAGUUGCACAUUUUCUCAGGUGGAACCCAACCAAAUGAAGUUUAUUUUUCUCGCAUUGCUGUUCCCGUUGGAGCCCUGGAAUUGUUAAUGUGUCAAAUACAACAGUUGGUUUCUGCAUCUGUGUCACAUAGCUUCUUUGGGCUUUCUAUGGAUAUAGACCCUAAAUUGCUCCCAGGCUUAUUUGCCAUUUUUACCACUUUUAUAUAGAAGAUGUGAAGGGGGGGACACGACGUUGUAGGGCUAAUUAAGGCAUCGACCAACAUCUUUGCUACGGAGGAUGGGAGGACUGUACAGACUGCAGCUUCUUUUUGUGAUUUUAUUUUCUUCCCCAGUAAAUGACUUUGAAAACAGCAUCGUGGGAGGGAAACAAAGAGCAAGUUGGAAGCCCGGGUUGAACCAGCGUGUCCUUCCCGGCC